rnacentral:lncRNA from 1 species
GUGAGUGUGCUAUCCUUGGAUUGGCACAUUUAUAUUGCAGUAAAUGUCUCCACAGUGGAAUCUAGUGUGGAGAGAUGGACAGCUCCAUUUCUGUUAGGCCACGUGUGGAACCCCAUUAGACUCCUACUUCAUCAGGGCUCCACAGAGACCAGAAGUUUGUCAUAAAGGACCUAACCUCCGUGGCUUCUGAGGUCAGCUGCUCCCCUAAAAGGCAAUUGCUUGGCCUUCAUUUCAAAAGGUUUACUAAGUGACCUAAGGUCAUACUCUGAGCUGUUGGGUUUCCAAGGAACUCAACAAAGGUUGUGUGUGUGUGUACACCUUCCUUGUUACUAUUUUAACAGACUUUUGGCUCACUGUAAGAGUUAGAACUUCUGUGGAGUGUGUGGUAAAAGAACACAUACGUUCAAGAGCAGCCACCACUCAAAACCUCAUUGAACACUUAGCCUUAACCACAAGUUAUAGGUCACUCUUUAGGGCCACAUUCUUUGUCUGUGUUCAAUGCUUUAUAGUAUUUUUCUGCCUUAUCUCUAAGGAACCAAAGUCUUUCUCCCUAAAAAUGCUGUGGUAAAGUAAGGUCUGAUUUUAGGGUUAAAUUGGCUUUAGUAAUAACCUCGCUAAAAGUUAACAAAAGAAACCCAGCUCCAAGGGUUGUGACUGAGUUUGUGUAAAAGGGCUGAGUGAGCCGAGAAUGUCACUCUGAGCAUUACCGGUAAGGUUGGAGGUGUGUGAUCAUUAAUGUUCUGGGGCUGCUGUUGAAUGCUGGCAGAUUGCGGCCUCCUGUUUAAGCAUCGAGUUUUUCAAAGAGAAAAACUGGCUGCCACUCUUGUCUCUUUCUUGAGUGGCUGAGUUUUCUAGGUUAUUUAGUAGAUGAAAUCAAAAGAAACGUGGAAACACUGUGUGGUUGGAAGCCACGUGGCGCAUAUGCUCCUGCUUGUUAACAGUGAGUGGUGUUGAUGCGUGGGCAUUCAGGUUUCUUCUGCGUUGGCAAUGCUGAUGUGUAAUCAGUCGUCUCAGCACAAUUGGGGGUUUUAGGAAACUCAGAGAUCAGCCUUAGUUCUCAGAGUUUUUGAAAUCAAUAUCCUAGCCUUAUGAAUUGUUCCUUGUGUUUCCUUGGCAACAAACAGUAUUUUCAGCCCAAACCCACCCACGGUUUACAUUCACCCCUUUCUCCUGCAUCUCACAGCACAGCCAUACAAGCAUCACCCAACAGAAAGCACAUUCAGGCACCAUCUGACAACGGGAAGCAGGACUCAGGCAUUCCACUCCCCAUUUGUUCCUGGUGUCCCCUCCCCAGCUCUGCCUUGCUUGCUUACCUUCUUUGUGCCAGCACUUUUCUUUGAGGUUGGGUUGCAAAGGACCUUGCCUAAAGAUGAACAAAGUAUUUCAUUCUUGCACUUUGAAUCUCUCCAGUGCCUAGGACUAAUGAGGAGAAUGCUUGUUAGCUCAUUUUGUGGGCCAGUGCUGGGUUCUCCUUAGUUCAUCCUUAUGGCAGCAUGAGGUGGAGCGGGCACGAUCUCAUUUGCAUUUGAGGAAACCAAGACUCAGGCCAGGAACUUGUCUUCGUAUGGUAUGACACUUGGUGGUGGAUGUGAAGUUCAAAUUUGGAGUUGGGUUUAAGUCGCUUGAAAGUUGGUGCUCAUUUUUCUGUGCCACAGUGCAUCUCAGAAAGACACUUCUUAGGGAAUGUGUGUGUGACUGACGACAGCUGGGUUCUUACUGUUUUAGCAGCAGUGUGAACAGAUGAAGCAGACAGGAAGGGGGAAAUGGCAAUGUAUACUGUGUGACAGGCACUAUGCUAAGCAUCUCAUCUUUACCGAAAGCAUUUAUGAAGGUUUUCUCUUUUAAAAAUGAGCCACCUGGGCCAUGAAGAAGUUAAGUGACUUGACCACAGUCACAACCUAACCCAUGUGGUAGCAUCAGGAUUUCAGUCCAGAUCUGACUCAGAACUCAUGCUCUUAACCACCAUGUGAUUUUAAGCUGGAUAACAUGGAAAUACGUUUAAAUAUAUAAGGAAUAUAUGUAAAGGUAAUAUACAUUACUUUUAAAUAAGACAUCAGGUCAGUGCUAACUCCUACAGUAUAGAUGUCCCAGGUUGAAUAAAAUAGUUUCCUAAAAUCUCUACAUUUAUAACAAUGACAUAGGACAGACAGGUGGCUGCAAGAUGUAUGGUGAAGCUUAUGUAUACCUUAGCUAUUAGGGCAAGAAGUAUACAUUUUAGUACUUGUACUAAAACUAACAUAUAAAUUAAUCUUGAUGUGGAAAAUAAAAGCAUUAUUGGUGAUUUGGGUGUUACAAACAUUUGCUUUUCCUAGCAAAAUGCCAGAAUAGGUUGAUUCUUUGACUUGAUGUCAUUUAAUGGGAAUUCUGUUAGGUGAUUAGGGAAUUUGUGAUCCCUCUGAAAACAUUAACCAAAAAAUAGAAGGGAACUUUUCACAGUGUAAAAUAGUGUUUAAGAGUUUGGAGCCAGAAUCAUCCCUGGCUCUCUCUUCUACUAGCAUGGUGACCUCAGCAAAUUACUUAAUCCUUCUGCCUCAGUUUCCUCAGAUGUAAAGUGGGGAUAAUAAUCGUACCUUUGGCAAAGCAGUGUUGUGACGAUUGAGUGCGUAAAUGUAAAGCACUUAGAGACUGGCACAUCAAGUGCUAGGAGAGCGUUUGCCACCACGUUGUGGUCUUCCUUGUUGCAGUUAAAGGUGCUAAGAGUCUUUUAAAUUGCAAAUGCCCCUGAAUGUCGUAAAUCAUUGCACAAAACUUUUCAGAAGCCACCACUUAAGUAAGAAUCCCAUUGAAAUAUCUAGCAGGCAGGCACUUGUGGGCAGACUUCUGGUCAGGGCACUGGAGGUGCAUCCAAAGAGAGAAGAGGGGGUUGAAGGACUCACAUUUGCCAAAUGCCUGCUGUAUGCCAGGUGCUUUGCCCACCUUAAAGUCCUCCUGAGGGAAGGAAGCAGGAUGAAGCCCUGUGUCACACACCUGGGAGUGGUAGACUGUGCUCGCCAGUACCUGCAGAGUCUCCCAGGCACUGGGGUGCUGGUGAGUGAGGGAGGUGCCUCUAAGAACCUUGCCCUAUCCAGCAUGGAACCAGCAUUUUGGUCCCAACACACCUGACUUGGAACAUUCGAAUCUGAUCUACAAUUUGCUCAUGGAUGGCAGCAGCCCUUGUGCCCACACUCUGAGGGCCCUCGUGAGUGUGCACACGCGUUGAUGGGAAGAUGAGGGGUGUGGGGAGGCAGCCACAGCCUUCAGCUGCAGUAUCAUGCAGAUGCUGGGGACGUGAGAGCUGAAAGGCGCUCUUAAAUUGCACAAAUGCAACAUGGCUUUUAAAAGAAUCUGAGGCAAAAGGCACCCUCCAAAAAAACCCAUGUGAGCCGGGAGGGGACUGCCACUAUAGCUAACAAAGUGGGGAAGCAAUUUUGCAAAGUAAGAAAACUAGUCUCAGGCUAACCAGAGAUGCUGACAAACCUGAGAUUCCAGGCAGAUCUAAAUUAGAAAUCGGUCAAGGGAAAACCGUGAUAGUCCCCCUUAUGGAUUCCAGUGAGAAUUCUUUAAAUUCAUGGCCCUGAUGGAGUAGCAGUAGGAGAGAGAGGCCCUGGGGAUGCAAAUGCCCUCAGUGGAUCAGCUCUGCUCACUAGACACUUGGGCAGGUGAGGUUGGGCGCUGGGAAUCCCGUGGGGACAGGAUGCCUGCCUACUUGGCCCUCAACUCUAGGUGAAUCCUAUCCUUCUCUUCACCGUCUUCCUCCCCUUCCCUCUCUGGACCCUCUGCUUGCUCUGUGAACCUGGAUUGAUCUCCACUCACCCGUCACUCCUGAAUGGGGCCCUCGAAGGGAGACACCCCUGACUGUGCUGAUGUUGUGAACGCUGCUGGGCCAGACUGGUGUCUGCAGGAGGACAAAGCAAGGGCUGGUUCUGACUUUGGUUUGAAGGGAUGAAAAGCCACCAAGACGGCUUUUGUGAAAAUCUGGAAGGACAAGAAAAGCCCACUUAAGUCAUCAGAUCUCAUUUCAUCUAUUGUUAACCUUGAGGAGUGGUGAGCCCGCUGUUCCUGCCAAGCUCUUCAAUACCCAGCUAGAUGGGCACCCUGAACAGAAGUGCUUCUGGACUAGUGCCACAGGGACUGCUCUGAGUACCAGGGUGGCCUUGGGCAAGGCUCUGGUCCUUUCUCGAAUGGCUUCCCAGGCCUGAGGAGGCACAGGCAGCAGUGAGAAUCUGCUAAGCACUUGUGAACACUAUAUGCUGAAAUGCCUGAAAAGGCUUUCCUGCCCUGCAGGGACCCGGGCUCAGCACCUUUUUCAGACUCCAGGAAGCUCAUAUCCCGCUGAUGAACAGCUCGUGGCCAUUGCAGCACUAUGGAAAACCCGCAGCUCCUGGCGUCAUUUAACUACAUGCCACUCAGGCACAUUGAAGUCCUUAAUGAUGUCUACCUUCUUUGGAGCAGGAGGCCACAUGCCCAGGACUGACAUCUAUGUCCCCACGUGGCUAUUGGUCAGUGAAGCUGUGAAAUCUUUUUCACUGCUGCCUUUAUUUAUACCUGUGUUCAACUUAAUGUGAGCAACCCCCUCUGAAUUUCUUUCCUUAACCCAAAUAUAACCUGGCAUUUGAUGGCACAGCAGGCAGAAGUGCUGACAGGGGCCCCUGCCUCCCCUACCACCUCUCCCUUCCUCUCAGCGGGGAGAGGAGUCCUAGGUCCGCAUGAGUUUCCUUGCAUGGGGUUUGACGGCAGACAGGCCUGCUCUGAAACUCAUCUCUGUUCAUUACUAGCUGUGUGGCCUUAGGCAAAUAACUCAACCUCUCUGUACCUCAGUUCCUUCAUCAGUAUGAUUAAAUGAGAUAAUGUUUGUAUGGUGCAUAUCCCAGUGUGGCACACAGAGAAUGCCAUCAUUAUUAGCUAUGCAGGUCAAAUCAGUUCACUUCUGGCCUGCAGCUUGUCCCCACUCACCUGCCUGGGUCCUUUCCAUUAUCUGUGUUCCAUGCCUGUGUUUUCACCUUUCUUUCCCGUGGCAUAUAAACAUGUUUGGCUCAUCCAACAUAUAAACAUGUUAGAGCAUCCUUCCCUGGACCUGGUCUUUUCUGGUCUGAUCCUGGAUUUUGUAUCCCCUUCACUUCUGGUCCCUACUCAGCUCUUGUUCCUCAGCCUCCUGCUCUGGGUGCACCUGCUCCCCAGCCCCAUGCACUGACUCUUGCUAUGGUCACCAGUGUUCUCCCACAAGGACCGCAGUCUUCAGCCAACAUUAUCUCUAUAGCAAGGUGCUGUCCCCCACUCAGGGGAGUUCUCUGCCCUCUGCGGCUCCCCUCCCCAGCACCCCCAAGGCUGGGUACACUGUUCUUCAACCCAGGGCCAGGCCCCCCUGGCUCAACCUGCAAAUCAGACCAGGACACAUUACCAGUGAAAGUGUUUAAUAGUUAAAUUAUUUAAAUAGACUUUUCAAUUUCCAUGGGAAAUCAUAAUCGUAUCUGUUUUUGCAAGAGUAGGAAUAAAAAGAGUGCACACCCUUUAGAGGGAACGAAGAGCUAGCACUGCACCUGCACACUGUCACCAGUCACUGCUGGGAUGGGAGAGGGGUCCCCAUGGGGCCGGGAAGCCAUGACCAUGGGAGAACAUGGGAUGAACUCAGCACACACACUUUACUCAGGUUGGAAGCAGAACGAAAACCCAACACCACUGGCGGGCGAUGUGGAGGGGCAGGGAACUUGAGAACAACAGCUGGAAGAAAGCAGGCCUCCUGUGGCCGACGUCAGGAUGGCAAUGCAGAACUCAAAGGAUGGAGCAGCAGAAGCACGGGACAGACUCAGGCUUGGCAGUUUUGGGUCCACACACUUUGCUUCUCAGAGCUGUGUUCAGUUGGUGUGCGGGGAGGGGAGGGUGGUGCUAGAGCCCAGUGAGAGGUGGUACAGGUGGACAUCAAAGUCACAUUGUGGCAGCUGGCACAGAGCCACUGCCUCAUCACCUCCAAGCUCAUGUUGGAGGUGAAGAUCAUUCUAACCUGAGAAGCAAUGGAAAGAUUUGGGCAUGGGCCCUAAGGAUUCCACUGAAUUCUGUGCUAGAGUAUCAUUUUCCAAAUGUCUUCCUCAUAGGUUAUAAAAAUAGUAUUUUUUUCUUGGUAUGUUUAACUGCCCCCUCCCACUAAAACAAAAUUCCUGCUAGCUUUCCCUGUGGACUCUAAAGCUGGGCUCUACCCAUUCCUCUGCCUGGUUUGCCGGUGGAGGUCAAGGCCACUCCCUUUCCGCAAACCUGAAGGCUGCACAUUGCAUCCCCCAGUCUGAGUGAACAUCUCCAGGAAGAGCCACCUGCACCUUGGCCAACUGAGUAGGCCAGGGAGGCUUGGCUUCCUCGUCCCAGCCUGCAAAGCACCUGGCCUUCUGUAAGCACUCUGGAAUCUGUGGGCGCUGCCUCUGUAAGCCGCAAACGUCUGAAAUCUCAGGGUGUGGAGGGCACCACACUGCCUGUCGCAGGAUGAGAUUGCUUCCCUUGGUUCCAGCUCGGCCUGGGAUGGGAAAGCAGCUUUUUGUUUUCUUAUUCCAUCUGCGUUUUGCUUAGGGGAAGGAGGGUGUGUGCAUGUGUGUACAUACGUGUGCGUGUGUCAGAAAAGAUGGGGCAGUGUGUCCAUGCAUCCUCCUACUUAAUCUGAGCAUAUGGUACCCCAAAAGCACACACCCACUGCUCUGGUGGUACCUUGGAAAACCCAAAACUGCCAAAUCUGAAAUGAGGGAAACACAUCCUGUGUGAGACCAGUUCCACAGCAUGAACACACACACAUAUACACCAGUACAUACACCGACAUACACACAGUACAAAUGAGCACACCCGCCCUGCUGUGCACAGCUGUUUUCUAAUAUAGAGAAUUUACAAAAUAUAGAAUUUGGCAUAUCUAUCUGUGAGAUCUCCAAGGCUUUCAAUAAUACAAAAUAAAAAAUACAAAAAAGACAAGUGGGGAUCCCCGCCCUCCCCCCGAGUGGCGUCCUCGUUUGCUUGUGUGUCUCUUACACGCAUACAACUAGCAUAGUCUAAAGAAGGGCACGGAGAACUUGUUUUGUUUUAUUUAAUAAAUAUUUUUCUCAGAAUCACCA